UAGUAACGGCGAGUGAAGAGGGAAAAGCUCAAAUUUUGAAUCUGGUGUCUUUGACUCCCGAGUUGUAAUCUAGAGAAGUGUUUUCCGCGUUGGACCGUGUACAAGUUCCCUGGAACGGGGCGUCAUAGAGGGUGAGAAUCCCGUAUAUGCCACGGACUACCAAUGCUCUGUGAUACACUCUCAACGAGUCGAGUUGUUUGGGAAUGCAGCUCAAAAUGGGUGGUAAAUUCCAUCUAAAGCUAAAUAUUGGCGAGAGACCGAUAGCGAACAAGUACCGUGAGGGAAAGAUGAAAAGCACUUUGGAAAGAGAGUGAAACAGUACGUGAAAUUGUUGAAAGGGAAGCGUUUGAAGUCAGUCACGUCUGUCGGAAUUCAGCCUGGCUUCUGCCUGGUGUACUUUCCGUCCGACGGGUCAGCAUCAAUUUUGAUCGAAGGAAAAAGACGUGAGGAAUGUGGCUGUCUUCGGGCAGUGUUAUAGACUCGUGUUGUAUGUCUCGGUUGGGAUUGAGGAACGCGGCGCGCCUAUUGGCCGGGGGUUCGCGCCCCUCGGUACGCGCUUAGGA
rnacentral:rRNA from 1 species